CUGUGUAGUUGUCUGAUCUACUUAACGAUAUAUAUGUGUAAACGAUUGAGUCAAUUGGUGAUAUAAUAUUUUUUACAUGUGAACCAUUAUUUCGCGGCAGAAUACGCUCAAAACUUUUAGGAGGCUCUAGAUGUGGUUUGCAGAAUAUUCAUAGCGGACAAAAAUAUAAAGAAAAGAUAAAAUGGGAAGGAAAUACAGAAUAAAGUAUAAUCGACUUACUAUAAGUUCAGUUUAACUCUGAUAAAUAUUUGUCUCGCAUCUCUAAACUUUAUAAUGAAUAAGGAUUCGAAUGUAAAAGGCAAACUAAAAAUUGGAAAAAAAUAAGAUCUGCUGAAUAUGUCUGAAACUUGUGUCACUGAACGC
rnacentral:lncRNA from 1 species